ensembl:misc_RNA Metazoa_SRP Metazoan signal recognition particle RNA
GCCGGGCACAGUGGUGCAUGCCUGUAGUCCCAGCUACUGGGGAGGCUGAGGUGGGAGGAUCGCUUGAGCCCAGGAGUUCUGGGCUGUAGUGCACUAUGCCAAUCGGGUGUCCGCACUAAGUUUGGCAUCAAUAUGGUGACCUCCCGGGAGUGGGGGACCACCAGGUUGCCUAAGGAGGGGUGAACUGGCCCAGGUCAGAAACGGAGCAGGUCAAAACUCCCAAGCUGAUCAGUAAUGUGAUUGAGCCUGUGAAUAGCCACUGCACUCCAGCCUGGGCAACAUAGUGAGACCCCCAUCUCUU